rnacentral:rRNA from 1 species
CUGUAAGGCCAUACCACCCUGAAGGUGGCCCAUCAUCUCCUCUGAUCUCAGAAGCUGAGCAGGGUCAGGUCUGGUUAGUACUUAGAUGGGAGAAUGUGCAUGAGACAUUGGCCUCUUCAUCAGU